rnacentral:rRNA from 1 species
AUUGAACGCUAGCGGGAGGCUUAACACAUGCAAGUCGAGCGAGUGGCGGACGGGUGAGUAAUGUAUGGGGAUCUGCCUCAUGGCGGGGGAUAACUACUGGAAACGGUGGCUAAUACCGCAUACUAUCAGAUCAACCCAUAUGGGAUUAGCUUGUAGGUGGGGUAAAGGCUUACCAAGGCGACGAUCCCUAGCUGGUCUGAGAGGAUGAUCAGCCACACUGGGACUGAGACACGGCCCAUACUCCUACGGGAGGCAGCAGUGGGGAAUGUUGCACAAUGGGCGAAAGCCUGAUGCAGCCAUGCCGCGUGUAUGAUGAAGGCCUUCGGGUUGUAAAGUACUUUCAGUCGGGAGGCGGUAUCGGCAGAAGAAGCACCGGCUAACUACGUGCCAGCCGCCGCGGUAAUAG